AUUGAACGCUGGCGGCAUGCCUUACACAUGCAAGUCGAACGGCAGCACGGGAGCAAUCCUGGUGGCGAGUGGCGAACGGGUGAGUAAUGUAUCGGAACGUGCCCAGUCGUGGGGGAUAACGUAGCGAAAGUUACGCUAAUACCGCAUACGAUCUUUGGAUGAAAGCGGGGGAUCGCAAGACCUCGCGCGAUUGGAGCGGCCGAUAUCAGAUUAGGUAGUUGGUGGGGUAAAGGCUCACCAAGCCGACGAUCUGUAGCUGGUCUGAGAGGACGACCAGCCACACUGGGACUGAGACACGGCCCAGACUCCUACGGGAGGCAGCAGUGGGGAAUUUUGGACAAUGGGCGCAAGCCUGAUCCAGCAAUGCCGCGUGCAGGACGAAGGCCUUCGGGUUGUAAACUGCUUUUGUACGGAACGAAACGGUCCUCUUUAAUACAGAGGGCUAAUGACGGUACCGUAAGAAUAAGCACCGGCUAACUACGUGCCAGCAGCCGCAGUAA
rnacentral:rRNA from 1 species